rnacentral:tRNA from 1 species
AUCGAUAUGUCUGAGUGGUUAAGGAGACAGAGUUGAAAUCUGUUGGACUUUGCCUGUGCAGGUUUGAACCCUCCUGUCGACG